rnacentral:misc_RNA from 1 species
UGAGCUUGUCCUGAGCAUCCUUUAUUCCUUCACUGAAAAUCACUCCAUAAAGAUCUUGCAUUAUCAGACACUCCAACUCUGAAUCUUCGAGUUCAGAAUCGUAAGUGCUUUCAGCAGUGAUGUAAGCUUCCGUCAAAAUAAUACUAUAAAUGUCAUUCAUAAUAUGGAACUCCAUGUUUGACUCAUCAGCUUUACUACCUUUCUCUCUAAUAAGAUCCCUUAGAAAACAUUUAUACACUUCUUCCCUGAUUGAAGCUGCUAUUUGUGAAUCUUCCACCACUAAAUUGAUAUCUCCUAUCUGCUUCUGCAUAUUUUCUUCAUCCAAAGUGUGUUGCAGACUCUUCUCAGCAGCAGCAGAGACUUCGGACAACAGAAA